CGGUUACUCAGUCGGUAGAGCGCCGGACUGUUAAUCCGUAGGUCCCUGGUUCGAGCCCAGGUCG
rnacentral:tRNA from 1 species